rnacentral:tRNA from 1 species
GGAGAGUUCACCUAGAGGCCUAUGGUACUUGCUUGGAAAGCAAGCGGGUGAAAGCCCACGAGGGUUCGAAUCCCUCACUCUCCGCCU